AUGGUGCGUUGGUCGGAGAUAUGUAAACCACGGGACCAAGGGGGUCUCGAGAUCAUGUCCUCCAAAUGCAUGAACAUAGCCCUUCUAACACGGUGGUUGUGGCGGAUUGCCAAUGGAGAAGGGGGCCUGUGGUUGCGCCUCAUUCAGCAGAAAUACCUCCGUGGCCAGCCACUUGCCUUCUGCCAGCGAUUUGGAGGAUAA
rnacentral:rRNA from 1 species